UCCAGGGUAGCCUAGUGGACAUGGCAUCUGCCCGGUAAGCAGAAGGUUGUGGGUUCGAUUCCCGCCCCUGGAC